rnacentral:rRNA from 1 species
UACGAAGGGGCUAGCGUUGUUCGGAAUUACUGGGCGUAAAGCGCACGUAGGCGGAUAUUUAAGUCAGGGGUGAAAUCCCAGAGCUCAACUCUGGAACUGCCUUUGAUACUGGGUAUCUUGAGUAUGGAAGAGGUAAGUGGAAUUGCGAGUGUAGAGGUGAAAUUCGUAGAUAUUCGCAGGAACACCAGUGGCGAAGGCGGCUUACUGGUCCAUAACUGACGCUGAGUGCGAAAGCGAUGGGAGCA